CGGGGCGUAGCGCAGAUGGUAGCGUGUCAAAUUCGGGAUUUGAAGGUCGCCGGUUCGACUCCGGUCGCCCCGA
rnacentral:tRNA from 1 species